rnacentral:tRNA from 1 species
GGGCUCGUGUGGUAAAGGAUAUCCUAUUGGGCUUCGGACCCAACGAUCCGGGUUCGAUUCCCGGCGAGCCCG